UACGAAGGGGGGCUAGCGUUGCUCGGAAUUACUGGGCGUAAAGCGCACGUAGGCGGAUUGUUAAGUCGGGGGUGAAAUCCUGGAGCUCAACUCCAGAACUGCCUUCGAUACUGGCGAUCUCGAGUUCGGGAGAGGUGAGUGGAACUGCGAGUGUAGAGGUAAAAUUCGUAGAUAUUCGCAAGAACACCAGUGGCGAAGGCGGCUCACUGGCCCGAUACUGACGCUGAGGUGCGAAAGCGUGGGGAGCAAACAGG
rnacentral:rRNA from 1 species